rnacentral:pre_miRNA from 1 species
AAGGAACUACCGCUGUGGUAUGUGGAGCCUUCCGUAUCACAGCCGUAGUUACCUAGA